GACGAACGCUGGCGGCGUGCUUAACACAUGCAAGUCGAACGGAAAGGCCCUGCUUUUGUGGGGUGCUCGAGUGGCGAACGGGUGAGUAACACGUGAGUAACCUGCCCUUGACUUUGGGAUAACUUCAGGAAACUAGGGCUAAUACCGGAUAGGAGCUCCUGCUGCAUGGUGGGGGUUGGAAAGUUUCGGCGGUUGGGGAUGGACUCGCGGCUUAUCAGCUUGUUGGUGGGGUAGUGGCUUACCAAGGCUUUGACGGGUAGCCGGCCUGAGAGGGUGACCGGCCACCUUGGGACUGAGAUACGGCCCAGACUCCUACGGGAGGCAGCAGUGGGGAAUAUUGCACAAUGGGCGGAAGCCUGAUGCAGCAACGCCGCGUGCGGGAUGACGGCCUUCGGGUUGUAAACCGCUUUCGCCUGUGACGAAGCGUGAGUGACGGUAAUGGGUAAAGAAGCACCGGCUAACUACGUG
rnacentral:rRNA from 1 species